CCUACGGGGGGCUGCAGUAACGAAUCUUCCGCAAUGCACGCAAGUGUGACGGAGCGACGCCGCGUGUGGGACGAAGUUCUUCGGAAUGUAAACCACUGUCAGGGGCCACCGGGGCCCCAGAGGAAGGCACGGCUAACUCUGUGCCAGCAGCCGCGGUAAUACAGAGGUGCCGAGCGUUAGGCGGAAUCACUGGGCUUAAAGCGUGUGUAGGCGGACCGGUAAGUACCUUGUGAAAUCCCACGGCUCAACCGUGGAACUGCUGGGUAUACUGCCGGUCUUGAGCGACUUAGGGGCAGACGGAACAAGUGGUGGAGCGGUGAAAUGCGUAGAUAUCACUUGGAACGCCGACGGUGAAAACAGUCUGCUGGGAGUCGCUGACGCUGAGACACGAAAGCCAGGGGAGCGAACGGGAUUAGAUACCCUUGUAGUC
rnacentral:rRNA from 1 species